ACACACCUGAGAGACAGACAGAAGGAAAAGGGCAUUAGGGUAUUAAGGGCAUUAGGGUAUUAUUUUAGUUAGGACUUUAAUACAGCAAAGAGAACUGCAGAACAUUUCAGUGAAGUUCAUCUUACAUAAGAGACAUCCAGCAGAUUCUACAGACGGAAUGCUAAUUAUUCCAGAACACCUUUAAUUCUAAGGUUUAUACCCUACAAUAUUUGCCCUGUGGCACUUACAGGUCCUGUUACAUCAACACUGUGGUGAAGAAGGUCUGGCAGCAUCUCACCAUUUCAGACACAUUAAACUUCUCUCUCAGACACCAUACUGGUCAGGAAAACAGAAGCAACUGGUGACAGAAACAACAGUUAACAGACGUCACCAACAACCUCCCCAGAACCGGCUGAAGAACUCCAGAGAUGAGCCACAGUUGUAUUGGAGCCAAGAUAAAGCUAUGAUGAGUCCUAAAUCCUGAUCCAGUACAAAGAAGCUCAGCUGUGAGAUGUGCUAAAGGUGGUGUCAUGGCUCGGCCUUGUGCUUCUGGAACAGACUCACUAAUCUUUAUUCAUGAUGGAGCUCAUUUACAAUUUACAGAGAAAUGCAUCCAAUCUAAAUCAAGAGGAACUUCAUCACGCAGCAAGACAAGGAUCCAAAACACACCGCCAACUGAACAAAGGACUCGCAUACAACGACAAAAAUACACUAAACUCCAACCCUGGAAAAGCUCCAAAGAAAAAGAAACCAAUUAUUUGAUGAUGUCACUUGGUAAAAGGUUUGGUGCAAUUCUGACCAGCAAGAAAGAUGCAACCAGUUAUUACGUGUUAUUUACUUUCAGCCAUUUUCUAUCAGUCCCUAUACUGAUGCUCAGCGACACAUUAAGUGGUCUGAUAAAGAAAAGGUUCGAUGUUGUUUUCUAAAUUUGAUUCUUGAAGUUUUUGUCAAUGAGGUGAGUCUGUCUUUGUGAGCUUUGCUAUUAUCUACUUAUCUUGUCUUACUUAAUAGUGAAAUAGUUUAAUUAUUGCUUUAUCUUUAAUCUGUAAUCUGUAAUAGUCAAAAAAAAAAGGUUAAAGUCACUGUAACUGCUGUCGUCAUCUGGUGAGAUUUAAACAUUUCACAUAGGUUCACAUUGUACUUAAACAGAACCAUCAAGGAACUUAGAGCUAAAGCUAAUAUAUAAUCUAUAUUAAUCUAUAUAUAAUUUAUACAUAUAAGCUAUAUAUAAUAUACAUCAAAUCAAAUUUUAUUUGUCACA